ACCUUUUAAGUAUAACAAUGUACAUUUGCCUUCCAAGUAAAAAGAUAAAUAAAUUUUUAAAAAGGUA
rnacentral:tRNA from 1 species